rnacentral:lncRNA from 1 species
CUGCUCACGCCUAGCCCCAGGGUCCCGGUCCUUACGCCCCCGCCCCAGGGCAGCCCUGUGAAGUUGCAAGCUCUGAACGGAAGCCCUGCACGUUUGCUUCAGACACCAGUGCAAAGGCACUGGGCCCUGACACGGACUGACCCAUUGAGAAGAGAGGAACAUCGAGAGCCUCCCCCAAAGCAUCCUGGGACCCAGGAACCCCCGUCCUGGACCAGCACGAGGACUGCCAUCUUCUAGAACGGGAAAGACCCCCAUGCCCGGGCAGUAGGAACAGCCAUGAGGCAGCACAGUGGGGACAUGGGACACCAGGCAGCCGAGAAGAGUGACAGGGUUCUGGCAGUGAACCCACGGCAUCUGAGGGGUCCUGGUCUGGACACCUGCUGCUGCACAGGUGAGCCCUGUGGACUGACAGCCACGUGAGACGCGCAGACACAAAAGGCCCCGUAAAUCUAUAGAGAGAGACAGGAAGCGGAUUCGUGGUCGCCAGGGGCUGGGGGGCAUGGGGUCUCCUCUCGGGGUGAUGAAAUGUUCUGGAACAAGA